rnacentral:rRNA from 1 species
UACGUAGGAGGCGAGCGUUGUCCGGAGUACUGGGCGUAAAGCGCACGCAGGCGGUCAGAUCAGUCUGGAGUGACAGUCUCGGCUUAACCGACGAAGUGUUCUGGAAACUGUCUGACUUGAGGGCUCAGAGGGACACGGAAUCCGGGUGGAGUGGUGAAAUGCGUAGAUAUCCGGAGGAACACCAAUGGCGAAGGCAGUGUCCUGGGAAGUACCUGACGC